UGAGGAAUAUUGGUCAAUGGGCGAGAGCCUGAACCAGCCAAGUAGCGUGCAGGAUGACGGCCCUAUGGGUUGUAAACUGCUUUUAUGUGGGGAUAAAGUGCGUGACGUGUCAUGCAUUGCAGGUACCACAUGAAUAAGGACCAGCUAAUUCCGUGCCAGCAGCCGCGGUAAUACGGAAGGUCCGGGCGUUAUCCGGAUUUAUUGGGUUUAAAGGGAGCGUAGGCUGUCUAUUAAGCGUGUUGUGAAAUUUACCGGCUCAACCGGUGGCUUGCAGCGCGAACUGGUCGACUUGAGUAUGCAGGAAGUAGGCGGAAUUCAUGGUGUAGCGGUGAAAUGCUUAGAUAUCAUGACGAACUCCGAUUGCGCAGGCAGCUUACUGUAGCAUAACUGACGCUGAUGCUCGAAAGUGCGGGUAUCAAACAGG
rnacentral:rRNA from 1 species